rnacentral:rRNA from 1 species
AUUGAACGCUGGCGGCAGGCCUAACACAUGCAAGUCGAACGAGUGGCGGACGGGUGAGCAAUGUCGGGGAAACUGCGUGGUGGAGGGGGCUAACUACUGGAAACGGUAGCUAAUAACGCAUACCAUCAGAUGUGCCCAGGUGGGAUUAGCUUGCUGGUGGGGUAACGGCUCACCGGGGCGACGAUCCCUAGCUGGUCUGAGAGGAUGACCGGCCACACUGGAACUGAGACACGGUCCAGACUCCUACGGGAGGCAGCAGUGGGGAAUAUUGCGCAAUGGGCGCAAGCCUGAUGCAGCCAUGCCGCGUGUAUGAAGAAGGCCUUCGGGUUGUAAAGUACUUUCAGCGGGGAGGCGUUACCCGCAGAAGAAGCACCGGCUAACUCCGUGCCAGCAGCCGCGGUAAUUC